rnacentral:rRNA from 1 species
GACAGAGGCCUCGAGCGUUAGGCGGAAUCACUGGGCUUAAAGCGUGUGUAGGCGGAGGCGUAAGUACCUUGUGAAAUCCCACGGCUCAACCGUGGAACUGCUGGGUAUACUGCGUCUCUUGAGUCACUCAGGGGCGAGCAGAACAGAUGGUGGAGCGGUGAAAUGCGUAGAAAUCAUCUGGAAUGCCAAUGGUGAAGACAGCUCGCUGGGGGUGUACUGACGCUGAGACACGAAAGCCAGGGGAGCGAACGGG